CCUGUAAAUAACAGAGGAUAUCCUGCCAGU
rnacentral:piRNA from 1 species